UGAGAAUGAUGUAGUGAUUUCAGGACCUCU
rnacentral:piRNA from 1 species